AAAGAAGAGAAAUUUUACUAGAAUUUUGAGGUUGAAGAAGAGGAGGAGAACUCAAGCAAAGUGUAUCAAUGGCUGAAUUUUAGUUCAUUCUGCUCAUCACUGGUUUUUAACUCGGUUUGAACUCUUCAAAAGGAAUUAAGAGGGCAGUUGGUUUUCACUCGAAAUCAGAAGGUCUCUGGUUUUUCUUGUAUUUCAGAGUGUAUCGAUGGCGUUAGAAUCUAUAUUUGGUAUGGUUGGAAAGCUUAUUCAAUUUACUACAAAUUUCAUGAAGACACUGUAAACCAAAAACGACUAAAAAUCAGUUAAAUUGUAGGGACAAGUUAAAGAGGUCGUGUGCGCGCGAUUCUGGAAGUUGUUCUGUUUUGAGGGUUAUAUGUAUUUAUGCACGGGGAAUCAGAUUUAUAUGUAUUCAGGCCGAGAAGAAUUAAACUGAGCUUAUAGACCAAGGAUCUAGCCCAAGAUUGUAGAGAUCGAGUUCCCGGUGCCUGAUAGACUGCCUUAGUCUGCUGAAGCUUCAUUAUCGAUUGCCAGUACGUGUUUUGAGUUGGGCAUAGAGUCUGUUAUGUUGUGAUGUAUACACACCCUUGUAUGUUAUAGAUACUCCACAGUUUGUAUAAGCUUUAGGAGCUAUAGUUGUGUAAAUUUUGUUGGUUAUAUUUUGAUUAAGGUGUCUUUAGGUUUACUCGUGAAAUCGGUAAAUUUUGAGGUACACUUCAUGUAUGUGUUUGACUAGCUGUGUUUGACUAGCCUAGGAUCCGCUGUGUUUUGUGGCAUGUACAAUAGUUUAUAUACUAGAUUGGCAAGUUCAUCACAUGAAAGUUUUAAGCAGAGUCGACAGAUACAGGUACAGAAAAGCGUUGUUCGUCGGCUUCACGCCAUCUUUCGGUCUAAGGUAGCAGGUAGUCAGGGAGGGGGU